AACGAACGCUGGCGGCAUGCCUAAAACAUGCAAGUCGAACGAAGCCUUCGGGCUUAGUGGCGCACGGGUGCGUAACGCGUGGUAAUCUGCCCUUGGGUUCGGAAUAACAGUUAGAAAUGACUGCUAAUACCGGAUGAUGUCUUCGGACCAAAGAUUUAUCGCCCAAGGAUGAGCCCGCGUAGGAUUAGGUAGUUGGUGAGGUAAAGGCCCACCAAGCCGACGAUCCUUAGCUGGUCCGAGAGGAUGAUCAGCCACACUGGAACUGAGACACGGCCCAGACUCCUACGGGGGGCAGCAGUGGGGAACAUUGGACAAUGGGCGAAAGCCUGAUCCAGCAAUGCCGCGUGAGUGAUGAAGGCCUUAGGGUUGUAAAGCUCUUUUACCAUGGAUGAUAAUGACAGUACCUGGAGAAUAAGCUCCGGCUAACUCCGUGCCAGCAGCCGCCGUAAUAC
rnacentral:rRNA from 1 species